rnacentral:lncRNA from 1 species
AUUACAAAUCUCAAUAUCUUUGUUCCACUCUCUAAUAUGAGCCCUUUCCACUCUCUCUACCUACCCCUUGCUUUUUAUUGGGUCCUCUCCUCUCUCUCCUUUCGUUCCCCCUCCUCACCCAUUCCCUCUUCCUCAUCUCCCUCUCCCUGCCCCCACCCCUACGUCCCCCUCUCUCCCCUCUGCCCCCUCCUCACCCUCCUUCCUCUCUCAUACCUCCACUUUCCCCUCGUCCUCCCAC